rnacentral:lncRNA from 1 species
ACGACAUUUAAAUUAUCAUAUAAAAUGAAUUUCCAUUAUAAAUGAGCAUGAUAGUUUUUUAAACAUGCGUGAUCACAGUAAAGCAUCUCAAUUUUUUGUUUUGUUUUUUAAUGUUAGGUCCAACAAAUCGGGUGGGUUAAAUGAAACACGGGUUUAAGAACAAUGGAGUACGAGUAUAGGUGGGGUGAGGUGGCAAAGCAUGUGUGAUGUUGUAGUUGGUUACAUGAUGGUGUAGCAAGAAGGAAUCAUCUACUUACUUCAUCUUUAAUUGUGGACCCAAUUUUUAGUCUAUUUUUGCAUGCCACAAUCAAUUGUUAUGAUUAAACCUAUAGAAGUGUUCAAAUAAUAAUUUACUUUGAUAGAUCAUACAUACUGAACAAAGAAUGGUUGAUUUA